rnacentral:rRNA from 1 species
UACGUAGGAGGCGAGCGUUGUCCGGAGUUAUUGGGCGUAAAGCGCGCGCAGGCGGUGCGGUAAGUCUAUGGUGAAAGCGCUCGGCUUAACUGGGCGAGGCCGUGGAGACUGCCGGACUGGAGGGGGAGCAGAGGCGAGUGGAAUUCCGGGUGUAGUGGUGAAAUGCGUAGAGAUCCGGAGGAACACCAGUGGCGAAGGCGGCUCGCUGGCUCGAACCUGACGCUGA